UGUCGACCAGGAGUGGAAAUCGUC
rnacentral:siRNA from 1 species